UGUGAAUAUCUAUUGUACAACAGCACUGCACAAAUAAGCAUGAUCAGGCAUAGAAAGUACUCUAUCAGGUAGCUGGUUCUACAGAUGUACAAGAUCAAGGCAUGGAUGCUC
rnacentral:lncRNA from 1 species